GGCGACGUAGCCAAGUGGCCAAGGCAGAGGUCUGCAAAACCUUGAUCGUGGGUCCAAAUCCCACCGUCGCCU
rnacentral:tRNA from 1 species